CGGAUUCAUAAACAUCGAAAACUUCAGUUACUGUGUGCUGUGCCUCUGGAGAUAGCAAAGAUUUAAGCUCAGUUAGUGUAGGGUUUAAGAUGGAUGAACUUUCGGUUUUGAUUAUUAAUGCUGCUAUUGUUCUCAUCAAUGCCUGUGAAAUUGAACAACUGGAGAAGAUCCCGGGACAUUUUUCGCAACCUUUCUUUGCAUUUAUGAGGAAUCUGUGGGAAAAUGUUCGGAAUGCAAUGUCACUCGCAAGCCCUGUGGAUUCUAGACAAGGGGGAGACGUGUGUGUUAGCAACAUUAGAGUUAGUCAUGUGGCUGAGAGCCUCUUCCGGCUUUCGGUUUUCGCGUCUAGGAAUAUCUCGCCUUUGCCUUGUCGUGUGGUUGAGAGAGGGGUGUUUGGCUUCUCAGAGUCGGGUUUUAGAGAUUUCGUGUUGAACCACUGGGAGGUGUCACCGUUUCUUGUGAGGAGGAUGGCUGCAUGGAUUAGAGUUGAGGAGGAUGAUCUUUUCGGCCUGAUGCCAGUGAACUUGGUGUAGACAUAUCCUUUGUUUCUUUCUUCUAUGCUUCAGGGGAUGGUUUCUUGUCUUCCUAUUGUUUCAGACGAGUUGAACAUCCUUGCAUUUCUGGAGGAGGUGCAGAAUAUAUUGGGUUGUCCUCUAAUUUACCAGCAGGACAUUCGGGUUGUGAAAACAAUAUGCAAGAAGGAAGUGCAUUUCUUUGCGAACAGUCUGUCAUCUUGCAGUGUAAAGGAUACUCUUUGUCUUUGCACCGAGGAUGUUUCAAAAUGCGAGGAAGCUUAUAAAGAGGGUUAUACCGUGGAGUUACGCGGAAUGGAGUUCCGGUUUGACAGUGUUGCUGCUAUUGCAGAAGGAUUAGCAUCUGCUUUCGGUCAACCAUCUGUAGGUGCCAAUCUGUACUUGACACCACCAAAUUCUCAGGGUUUGGCUUGUCACUAUGAUGACCACUGUGUCUUUGUAUGCCAACUUGUUGGGAAUAAGAGAUGAAGAGUUUCUUCUCAGUUAAAUGAUCAGUUACCUCGAUUAUAUGACCCUCUUGAUAGACUAUAUGGUUCUGAAGUUCAUAACUUGAUGGAUGACUGCAAACAUUAUUUGCUUAGUGAAGGUGAUAUUUUGUAUAUCCCCAGAGGUGUUCUUCAUGAGGCAUGCAAUGAAAAUGUUAGUCUUGAUGGGUCUGCUAGCUGUUCCUUACACAUUACACUUGGUAUCGAGGUUGAACCUCCAUUCGAGUGGGAAGGAUUUGUUCAUGUUGCAUUCUUCAGUUGGUACCAGAACCAGAAACAAGUUAACAAUUCGUUUGAGUUUUCGUCUGGAGCAUUCAUGAUAUAUCUGUGAGUCUCUUCCAUGUUGCCAUUGGGUUGAUUGGUGAUUCGGAUCCUCCCUUUAGGAAGGCUUGCUUGGUUGCUUCGAUUUUUCCAUGGUCACAUACAUAUAUCUGGCUUGAUUUGAACCACGGAAUCAUUUUUUGUCAGCUGAUUGAUAAAAUUGGUGUUGGGAGUAGGUUCUUGGAAGUGUUUAGGAGCAUAGAAUUAGCAGUUCAGGAAAACAAGGAUCCCUUGCAACGGAUCAAAUGGCUCGGUAUUCUCAAUAUGGAGAAGGAAUGCAGCCCAAAUCAUUACCAGAAUAUACCUUUCAUGGGGAUGACAGCUCUACUGUCAUCAUGUAUCAAUACAACGAGGAUGUAGAAGCUGCAUUUUUCAGCAGCUUAAAUCUAGGUUUUGUGAAAACGUGAUAUUUGAGGAUGCAAUAGUUAGUUAUAAAUUACUGUUAGAUAGAUAUAGGAAGGUCAGGAAGCAAUAUAUGAAUGGAAUGGUUUCACUGCAUCAUCAAUUAUGAUGUAUAUAAGUAUAUUUCUUUAUUUUCCCUCCUUCAUACCCCACUAAUUUGUUCUGUUUCUAUUUGCUCCUGAGCGCUUCUGACAGGAUUGGGAGCUGACGGACAGGAAUGGAUCAAGCUAGCUACCUUGUCAUAUAUGAUUCUAAAUGUUAGAAGCAGAUUUAUAUCAAAGGUGGGCAGAUACUUUUCCCUUGUGCCUGAAAAUUUGGAAGCAGAUAAACCACUAUUCAUGCAUCAGAAGCCGUACCUUGUUCUUUGGAUUUUCAUGUUUCUUGUUGGUGAAUGACAUGCUCAGUUUCCUUAUUGGUUGUAUACUUACAUAAGAGGAACUGAUGCUAUAGGAAGAGAGAUAAAGAGCUGCGAUAAGGAAACAGAACAGAACCAUUUGCAAACUUUUCAUUGUUAUGAAGAUGUAAGCAUAUCCUUGGGGAGUGAAAAGUUAUAGGACCAAGUAUAUAUAGAUCAUUGUAGUGAUUGGAGCAAGAGAGGAUAAGCAUUAUUGAUCAAGUGGUAGGGGAACAUGUCUGAGCCCAUGCUUGUGAUUCUGUUGCUUAUGAAAAUGCGAGAGAUAGAAACAAGAUCGACCCAGAAGUUGUAGGCAGCAUUGUCUUUCCAAACUUACCUUGUGGCUUCUAAAAUCUCUGUUUAGGGGAGCCAUUCACCAUCGGUGUUGCAGAGUAGGUAAGGGAAAGAAACUGUUUUCACGUUUGUGUUUCAUAUCAAACAAAGCCUCUCACGACUAAAUUAUUCUUCAUGUUUUGUCUUCACCAAUAAGGACCAAUUCUGGUCAUAUCACUCCCCAGCUGUUGCCCCACUCUGAA